CUUUAACCACUUGGCCACAUUGUGCCCUGACUCUCAGAAACUGUGCUCCUUUGUAAAUUGUGAUGUGUGGCUUGGCUUUUCAAAAAUAACUCUGCAGGGUCAUUGGCCACCCGGCCACGAGGACAAAGGGAGCAGAAUCGAUGAGCAGGGUUUCAGAUGGCUGGUCAGUAUGAAUGGAAAUGAUGACACAUCCCAGGAUCAACUUCUGGGAAACAGAUCAACUUUAAUCGGGGUACAUGAGUGUCACAGUUAACCAGUGGAGAUCAGAGGAAAAUUUGCAGAGCUGGUUCUUUUCUUCCACGUUUACACUGGGGAUCCCAGGAUCUUUAUCAAGC